GCGCCCGUGGCUCAAUUGGAUAGAGCAUUUGGCUACGGACCAGAAGGUUGCAGGUUCGAGUCCUGCCGGGCGCG
rnacentral:tRNA from 1 species